GACGUAGGGCGCGAGCGUUAUCCGGAAUUAUUGGGCGUAAAGCGUGCGCAGGCGGUUCGCCAAGUCAGGUGUGAAAUCCCCGGGCUCAACCUGGGAAUUGCGCUUGAAACUAGCGAGCUUGAGUGUGGCAGAGGGGGGUGGAAUUCCACGUGUAGCAGUGAAAUGCGUAGAGAUGUGGAGGAACACCGAUGGCGAAGGCAGCCCCCUGGGUCAACACUGACGCUCAUGCACGAAAGCGUGGGGAGCAAACAGG
rnacentral:rRNA from 1 species